rnacentral:rRNA from 1 species
UACGUAGGUGGCAAGCGUUUGUCCGGAUUUAUUGGGUUUAAAGGGUGCGUAGGCGGUCCUAUAGGUCAGUUGUGAAAUACGGCAGCUUAACUGUCGAGGUGCAAUUGAUACUGCAGGACUUGAGUACAGACGAGGUAGGCGGAAUUGACGGUGUAGCGGUGAAAUGCUUAGAUAUCGUCAAGAACACCGAUAGCGAAGGCAGCUUACUAGACUGUAACUGACGCUGAUGCACGAAAGUGUGGGGAUCAAACAGG